UGGGGAAUCUUGGACAAUGGGCGCAAGCCUGAUCCAGCCAUGCCGCGUGGAUGAUGAAGGCCCUAGGGUUGUAAAAUCCUUUCGUUGGGGACGAUAAUGACGGUACCCAAAGAAGAAGCUCCGGCUAACUUCGUGCCAGCAGCCGCGGUAAUACGAAGGGGGCUAGCGUUGUUCGGAUUUACUGGGCGUAAAGCGCGUGUAGGCGGGUCGUUAAGUUGGGGGUGAAAUCCCGAGGCUCAACCUCGGAACUGCCUUCAAAACUGGCGACCUGGACUCAAGCAGAGGCAAGUGGAAUUGCGAGUGUAGAGGUGAAAUUCGUAGAUAUUCGCAGGAACACCAGUGGCGAAGGCGACUUGCUGGGCUUGUAGUGACGCUGAGACGCGAAAGCGUGGGGAGCAAACA
rnacentral:rRNA from 1 species